AAGACACUAGUAAAAUAUAUUAUUAUACUGCCUUGUCGAGGCAGAGUUGUGGGUUUAAUUCCCGCGUGUCUUG
rnacentral:tRNA from 1 species